AUCCCCUUAUCUUGCUGGUAAGAUUCAAAAGUGAUGCAUUUCCAUCUUUCUCAUCUGUGUUUUGCUUGUCUUCAACAUUAUCCUUCUGGUGUGCCUCACCCUUCAGAUCAUGUGGUGGAGAGAAGCUUUGUGGCAAUACCUCCCUGGAGAAGAGAGCUUGAAAAGCCAGCCGCCCCUCUUCAGAUACCUCCUUCCAUGAAUCACUCAUGUUGCUGCUACUUCUACUGCGACGACUACUAGACUCAGUAGCUAGAUGAUUUGUAUCAACUUCUUUUGACUCUUCCUUUUCUUUCUCAAGCUUCUCUGGUGCAUCUGUCUCUACUUCACUACUAGAAGAUGUGUUUGAACCACAUGAAGAACGGUCAACCUGUUUUCUGUUUUU
rnacentral:misc_RNA from 1 species